rnacentral:misc_RNA from 1 species
GAUGAAGAACGCAGUGAAAUGCGAUAAGUAAUGUGAAUUGCAGAAUUCAGUGAAUCAUCGAAUCUUUGAACGCAUCUUGCGCUCCUUGGUAUUCUGAGGAGCAUGCCUGUUUGAGUGUCAUUAAAUUCUCAACUACACUGACUUUGAAUUGGUGUGGCUUGGAUUUGGGGGGAAAAUUGUUGUGGGCUUUUUGUAUAGUCUGCUCCCCUGAAAUUGAUUAGCGGUACCUUUGUGGAACUGUCUACAGGUGUGAUAAUUAUCUACAUCUUAGACAUCUGCUGGAAUGCUGCUUUCUAAACCUUACUUGUAUUGACAAUCUUGACCUCAAAUCAGGUAGGACUACCCGCUGAACUUAAGCAUAUCAAUAAGCGGAGGA